GAUGAACGCUGGCGGCGUGCCUAAUACAUGCAAGUCGAGCGAAUGGAUUAAGAGCUUGCUCUUAUGCAGUUAGCGGCGGUCGGGUGAGUAACACGUGGGUAACCUGCCCAUAAGACUGUGAUAACUCCGGGAAACUGGGGCGAAUACCGGAUAACCUUUUGAACCGCAGGGUUCGAAAUUGAAAGGCGGCUUCGGCUGUCACCUAUGGAUGGACCCGCGUCGCAUUAGCUAGUUGGUGGGGUAACGGCUCACCAAGGCAACGAUGCGUAGCCGACCUGGGAGGGUGAUCGGCCACACUGGGACUGAGACACGGCCCAGACUCCUACGGGAGGCAGCAGGAGGGAAUCUUCCGAAAAGGACGAGAGUCUGACGGAGCAACGCCGCGUGAGUGAUGAAGGCUUUCGGGUCGUAAACCCCUUUCAGUUAGGACGAAGCUUUAUUGGUUAAUAACCAAUUGGAGUGACGGUACUUUCAGAAGAAGCCCCGGCUAACUACGUGCCAGCAGCCGCCGUAA
rnacentral:rRNA from 1 species